CUAAUACCGGAUAACACUCUGUCCCGCAUGGGACGGGGUUGAAAGCUCCGGCGGUGAAGGAUGAGCCCGCGGCCUAUCAGCUUGUUGGUGGGGUGAUGGCCUACCAAGGCGACGACGGGUAGCCGGCCUGAGAGGGCGACCGGCCACACUGGGACUGAGACACGGCCCAGACUCCUACGGGAGGCAGCAGUGGGGAAUAUUGCACAAUGGGCGAAAGCCUGAUGCAGCGACGCCGCGUGAGGGAUGACGGCCUUCGGGUUGUAAACCUCUUUCAGCAGGGAAGAAGCGAGAGUGACGGUACCUGCAGAAGAAGCGCCGGCUAACUACGUGCCAGCAGCCGCGGUAAUACGUAGGGCGCAAGCGUUGUCCGGAAUUAUUGGGCGUAAAGAGCUCGUAGGCGGCUUGUUGCGUCGGUUGUGAAAGCCCGGGGCUUAACCCCGGGUCUGCAGUCGAUACGGGCAGGCUAGAGUGUGGUAGGGGAGAUCGGAAUUCCU
rnacentral:rRNA from 1 species